CAAAAUUUAGUUUAUAGAAAAUAAUUCAUUUACAUUGAAUUGAUUUAAGUGCAUUACUUUUAAUUUUGA
rnacentral:tRNA from 1 species